rnacentral:lncRNA from 1 species
AACCACUCUUUGCCUUGCUCUUUUAGGCUACGAUCCUUAUGUGAAGGACGGAGUGACUGGGACCAGCAAAUACGCCCUAUCUCCAUGUGGUCCUCCUGUAUUGUCUUAUGCAGCAUCCUGAGCCUGCCUGCAUUUCUCAAGGAAGCUGCCUUUGACUAGCGCAGUGCCUGUUUGUUCCUCAGGUCGCUCACUACUUGUGCAAGCAGUUUGCCCUUGUGAAUCCCCAGGCUUUGCUGCAUGCUGUCAGGUAGUACCUGGAAGGGAAGUGUCUGACUCAUAAAUUACUCUUAGACAUGAUCUUCCUUGCCUUGAGGCAUUGGCGCGUCACCUACGUGCAGAAAGUGCAUUCUGCUCACCCCCCUUCAAAGCUGAGCUGUACAUUUUUCCAGAGGCUUGGGAUCUAUGAUCUUCUUGGGCUUUUGCCAAGCACGCUGAUGGAAACGCAUUUCCAGUUAGGAGCAAGUGCCUCUGCCCGAAGGAAAAAAAAGAAAAACCUAAGGCUUCCCAGUCUUACAGGAUUGCUUUGGUCGGGGAAGUAGGAAAGGAGAGAGACCAAGAGGAGGCAGAAAGAGGCUUUCUCUGGCAGAUCCUGGCUUGAAACAGCUCCCCUUCCCCGCCGCAAUCCAUGACCGAGGAAAAAAAAAGACCCCCCAAAAAGCAAAAUUCUCCUCCCAUCCAUGUGCUCGGCGGAUCGAUUGCGGUGGGCUUGUUGUUCCCUUGCCAGGAACCUGGCCUAGCUUCCGCCCCGUGACCGGAAGCAGGAAGCAAAGUGUCCUCCCAGGGACUUGAAAAAUAUGCCCUCGCAAGAAGGGAAGACUCUCCUACCCCGUUCCUCCAAGGGAGGCGCUUCCAAAACUCUCGGCCGGAUCAGAAGCGGGGCUGCCGGCAAGGGCGAAAGGGGUCAGGAUUCUCCUGAAGUAGCAGUCAAGCUGGGGCCGGAUAAGGACUCAUGUGACGCUUUCUCGGCGAUAAACUCAGGUGAUGCAGAAGCUGGUGAAGAUCUUCCCUUAGGGCCCAGUUUUUGCAAUGUGUCCAGCUUCUAG